AUGGGUUGGAGUGAUCAAGUGUUGUUUGGGUAGCUAGCAAUAUGGGUUACAUGAAGAUGGCUUGUGUUCUCUUCUUCGUUUUCCUCUUCAUUGCUGCUGGAGAAAUGGAGAUGGCAGAGGCGAGGACAUGCGAGUCAGCGAGCACUAGGUUCAAUGGGGUGUGUGUGAGGAGCA